ensembl:lncRNA
AUGGGAAAAAAAACAGAACAGGAGAAAACAGCAAUGGAUCCAGAUAUUAGAGUGAGACAACCAGAGAAAAGAGUAAUUGAACCUGAUAUUACAGAGAGAGAACUGGAUAGAAGAGCGAUGGAACUGGAUAGAAGAGCAUUUGACUUGCAUGUGGAACUAAACAGAAGAGGGAUGGAAAUGGAUAUUAGACAGAGAGAAAUUGAGAAAAGAGCAGAGAGAAGACAGACCGAACUGGAUAAAAGACUGAUGGACCUGUAUUUAAGGAAUAAGCUGUAUAUUAGAGACGAAGAAGCAAUGGAACUGUAUAAGAGAGAGAGAGAACUGGAUAGAAGAGAGAGUGAAAUGGAGAGAAGAGAGAGUGAACUGGAGAGAAGAGAGGGUGAACUGGAUAGAAGAGAGAGUGAACUGGAGAGAAGAGAGGGGGAACUGGAGAGAAGAGAGAGUGAACUGGAUAGAAGAGAGAGUGAACUGGAGAGAAGAGAGGGUGAACGGGAGAAAAGACAGAGUGAACUGGAUAGAAGAGAGAGUGAACUGGACAGAAGGACUAAAGGAUUGAAACCUCAUCGAAGUAGCAGCAAUGAGUUAGACCAUCCUAACAUGUCUGAAAGUGAGGACAAAUCUCCAGCCUGUCUGAAUGGAAAUUGAAGCGAGUUGAAGGAUUUUCCAGUUUUCCAGUGAAGGUUGAGUACAACUGAUCAAUUGAUUCAAUUGAGUUGCUUUAAAUGAAACCAUCUGGUAGCUAAAUGUUAAAUGUGAAUUAAAGUUUUGUAAUCUAAGUAUCUAAUCUGACUCGUUUUAUGUAAUGAUCUCGCAUUUGAUCUAUAGCAACUAUCCAAACCAACCUAGCAACCACCCCAGGUAGCCUAGCAACCGCACAGCAACACCCUAGCAACCACCCCGAGUACCUUAGCAACCGAUCUUUGAUUAUUCUAGUUAACACUUUAUAUUUACUAGUUCUUUAGGAAUCUAUGUCGCUCAGGAUGUAUCACACCGGCCGAUGUAGUGUACCCCAAUGAUCUCAAACUCUCCAGUCUGGUCAUUAGUCAAGAGGUUAUGACAAACUAUUUAAUAGACCGCCUCAUGCUUGUCAUUCUUUAAACAGUGGUUCUGUUUAGCCCCCUACAGCUCAAUAAUCAGCAGUUAUGCUAGUACUAUUUGCCUGGCCCUCGAUAGUUAGUAUUACUACAUACAGUUAAAUUAAAGCCGAGACAAUAACCAGAGGUUAUGGCCAGUACANACCGGCCGAUGUAGUGUACCCCAAUGAUCUCAAACUCUCCAGUCUGGUCAUUAGUCAAGAGGUUAUGACAAACUAUUUAAUAGACCGCCUCAUGCUUGUCAUUCUUUAAACAGUGGUUCUGUUUAGCCCCCUACAGCUCAAUAAUCAGCAGUUAUGCUAGUACUAUUUGCCUAGCCCCCGAUAGUUAAUAUUACUACAUACAAUUUAAUUAAAGCCGAGACAAUAACCAGAGGUUAUAGCCAGUACUAUGAAGUAUGCCCGAACCAUGCUAAUACUCCAAUAGUACAUUGUCUAGCCCCCCACAGUUGAUGCAACUGCAUAACAACUUAACUAAAGUCAAGCAGUUAGUCAGAAAUCUAUAAUCUCACCUGAUGUGCCCCAUGCUCCAUCUAACCUGAGAUUUAGUACGCACUUAACCCUAGACGCAGAUUUGUGGUAACAUACGUCUUCACUUAAUCUACUUGAGAAGAUAAUUUCAGAUUAAAUCAAAAUAAAAUCAAAUGUAACAACUUAUUAUCA